rnacentral:rRNA from 1 species
GUUCGGUUAAGUCCGCUAACGACGCGCAACCCUCACUGUGUGUUAUAUGUGUCACACGGGACUGCCGGUUUUAAGCCGGAGGAAGGUGGGGAUGACGUCAAGUCAGCAUGGCCUUUAUAUCCUGGGCUACACACACGCUACAAUGGCCGGUACAAUAGGUUGCCAAGCCGCGAGGCGGAGCCAAUCCAACAAAGCCGGCCUCAGUUCAGAUUGUAGGCUGCAACUCGCCUGCAUGAAGAUGGAGUUGCUAGUAACCGCAGGUCAGCAAUACUGCGGUGAAUACGUUCCCGGGUCUU